rnacentral:rRNA from 1 species
GAUGAACGCUGGCGGCGUGCCUAAUACAUGCAAGUCGAGCGAACGGACGAGAAGCUUGCUUCUCUGAUGUUAGCGGCGGACGGGUGAGUAACACGUGGAUAACCUACCUAUAAGACUGGGAUAACUUCGGGAAACCGGAGCUAAUACCGGAUGAUAUUUUGAACCGCAUGGUUCAAAAGUGAAAGACGGUCUUGCUGUCACUUAUAGAUGGAUCCGCGCUGCAUUAGCUAGUUGGUAAGGUAACGGCUUACCAAGGCAACUAUGCAUAGCCGACCUGAGAGGGUGAUCGGCCACACUGGAACUGAGACACGGUCCAGACUCCUACGGGAGGCAGCAGUAGGGAAUCUUCCGCAAUGGGCGAAAGCCUGACGGAGCAACGCCGCGUGAGUGAUGAAGGUCUUCGGAUCGUAAAACUCUGUUAUUAGGGAAGAACAUAUGUGUAAGUAACUGUGCACAUCUUGACGGUGCCUAAUCAGAAAGCCACGGCUAACUACGUG